GUCGGCGGUCCUGCCUUCAAAUCCGGGGGGAGCAAUG
rnacentral:tRNA from 17 species